rnacentral:sRNA from 1 species
CUUUUUUACCCAUUUU